rnacentral:rRNA from 1 species
CCUACGGGGUGCUGCAGUGGGGAAUAUUGGGCAAUGGGCGCAAGCCUGACCCAGCAACGCCGCGUGAAGGAAGAAGGCUUUCGGGUUGUAAACUUCUUUUGACAGGGAAGAGCAGAAGACGGUACCUGUCGAAUAAGCCACGGCUAACUACGUGCCAGCAGCCGCGGUAAUACGUAGGUGGCAAGCGUUGUCCGGAUUUACUGGGGGUAAAGGGCGGGUAGCCGGGCUGACAAGUCAGAUGUGAAAUCCGGGGGCUCAAACCCCGAACUGCAUUGGAAACUGUUGGUCUUGAGUGUCGGAGAGGCAGGCGGAAUUCCUAGUGUAGCGGUGAAAUGCGUAGAUAUUAGGAGGAACACCAGUGGCGAAGGCGGCCUGCUGGACGACAACUGACGGUGAGGCGCGAAAGCGUGGGGAGCAAACAGGAUUAGAUACCCGGGUAGUC